rnacentral:misc_RNA from 1 species
AACGGUCUAUACCUGCGGUACCUGCGGAGGGAUCAUUAGUGAACGCCCCCACGGGCUUAUAACUAUUCCAAACCUCUGUGAACCGUGCCCUUCGGGGCUAUUUUACAAACAUGGUGUAAUGAACGUCAUAUAUCAUAACAAAACAAAACUUUCAGCAAUGGAUCUCU